CUCGGAAGGGGCCACAAUGACCCUGCAAUGCACAAAGUCAGCGGGACCCUGGAAGGUGGGUGGGCUUCGAGCAUGCUGGCUUCCAAGGGCAGCAGUACAUUCUGGAACGGGGUGAAUAUCCAAGCUGGGAUGCCUGGGGCGGCAACACGGCCUACCCCGCCGAGAGGCUCACCUCCUUCCGGCCUGUGGCCUGUGCUAACCACCGUGACUCGAGGCUGACAAUCUUCGAGCAAGAGAACUUCCUGGGCAAGAAAGGAGAGCUGAGCGAUGACUAUCCUUCCCUCCAGGCCAUGGGAUGGGAAGGCAACGAAGUAGGGUCCUUCCACGUCCACUCUGGGGCUUGGGUUUGCUCCCAGUUUCCGGGCUACCGAGGAUUUCAGUAUGUGCUGGAAUGCGAUCACCAUUCCGGUGACUACAAGCAUUUCCGGGAGUGGGGCUCUCAUGCCCCGACCUUCCAGGUGCAGAGCAUCCGCAGGAUCCAGCAGUGAACAGGGGCGCGGCACGGAGGAGCACAUGCGUGCUUGUCUGCAAUGGAGGCGCUCUGGAGGCUGUGGUGUGAACCCAGCACCCGUGUGAGCUGGUCCAUGCACAGUCAGCACAAAAAACUC
rnacentral:sRNA from 1 species